AUUAUCAUCUAUAUAUUGAUCUAUCAUUAAAUUUGAAUUAAAUAUGCUAAAUUACAUUCAAAUAAUUCAUUAACAACUAUAUAUAAAAAAUAAAUUAAAUGAAAUUCAAAGUGUAAUUUCCACUUAAAGAACAAGAUUCUUUAAUAAUUAAGUACCGCCAAAUAAACUAACUUUAACUAUUACAUUAAUUACUAUUUAAAUUUCAUUAAUUUUUCUAGGGUAUCUAAUCCUAUUAACUUAAAUUAAUUAAAAUUGAAAAUUCAUUAUCAAAUUAAAAUCUAAAAAUUUCACUUUAAU
rnacentral:rRNA from 1 species